UACAGAGGUGGCAAGCGUUGUUCGGAAUUACUGGGCGUAAAGGGCGCGUAGGCGGUCUUGUAAGUCUUGUGUGAAAUCCCUCGGCUCAACUGAGGAACUGCACGGGAUACUGCGAGACUUGAGUUCGGGAGAGGGAAGCGGAAUUCCGGGUGUAGCGGUGAAAUGCGCAGAUAUCAGGAGGAACACCGGUGGCGAAGGCGGGUCUCUGGGCCGAUACUGACGCUGAGGAGCGAAAGCCAGGGGAGCGAACGGG
rnacentral:rRNA from 1 species